CAAGACCUGCACUUUUGGAGCGGCCGAUGUCUGAUUAGCUAGUUGGUGGGGUAAUGGCCUACCAAAGCUUCGAUCAGUAGCUGGUCUGAGAGGACGGCCGGCCACACUGGGACUGAGACACGGCCCAGACUCCUACGGGAGGCAGCAGUGGGGAAUUUUGGACAAUGGGCGCAAGCCUGAUCCAGCCAUGCCGCGUGAGUGAAGAAGGCCUUCGGGUUGUAAAGCUCUUUCAGCCGGGAAGAAAAGGUUGCGACUAAUAAUCGCAAUUCAUGACGGUACCGAAAGAAGAAGCACCGGCUAACUACGUGCCAGCAGCCGCGGUAAUACGUAGGGUGCGAGCGUUAAUCGGAAUUACUGGGCGUAAAGGGUGCGCAGGCGGUUUUGUAAGUCAGAUGUGAAAUCCCCGGGCUUAACCUGGGAACU
rnacentral:rRNA from 1 species